UACGGAAGGCAGCAGUGGGGAAUAUUGCACAAUGGGCGAAAGCCUGAUGCAGCUAUGCCGCGUGUAUGAAGAAGGCCUUAGGGUUGUAAAGUACUUUCAUCGGGGAGGAAAAAACAAAACUAAUAAUUUUAUUUCUUGACGUUACCCGAAAAAGAAGCACCGGCUAACUCCGUGCCAGCAGCCGCGGUAAUACGGAGGGUGCUAGCGUUAAUCAGAAUUACUGGGCGUAAAGAGCACGUAGGUGGUUUUUUUAAAGUCAGAUGUGAAAUCCCUGGGCUUAACCUGGAACUGCAUUUUGAAACUGAAAUACUAGAGUAUCGUAGAGGGAGGUAGAAUUCUAGGUGUAGCGGUGAAAUGCGUAGAUAUCUGGAGGAAUACCUGUGGCGAAAGCGGCCUCCUAAACGAAUACUGACACUGAGGUGCGAAAGAGUGGGGAGCAAACAGGGAUUAGAUACC
rnacentral:rRNA from 1 species